UGUCUCUCCUUCUCUCUGCCCUCCCCCUGCUCAGACACUCUCUGUCUCCCUCUCAGAAUAAAUAAACUUGAAAACGUAUGUCAAAAAAGUAACAAAUUUAGAAUAACACCAAACUCCAUAACACAGCCUAGAAAUCCCAGUCAGCUCUAAUCCUCGCUUACUUAGUGUCUUUCUACACAAAACUUAUCCAAACUCCCAGUACCACGACCAUAUUAGACUAAUUUCAGGAACUCAACCACAAUUUCACCACACUGUCUGACAGACAUUUUCCCUGUCUCUGGAAGCCUCUUUUCUCUAUUCUCUAUCAAGUGAACUCUCAACCACUCUCCAUAAAAAGCUGAAUUCUUAAGGAUCUUCUCUGAGCUCCAUGACGAGGUCAAAUAUCCCAACAUUAUAUACCCCUUCCCAGAACUUAUCACAUUUUGGGUCUUACCUAUAUCAGUAUUUGAGUGAAUAUUUGAUUAAUGUUCUCCACCCUCGCUUGACUAUAAACUACAUAAUAACUGGUUUUAUAUUUCCAGUGUCUUUCAAAAUGUCUAGCCCAUAAAUGCUCAAAAAACUACUUACGGUGUUGUUUUCCGUAAAUGAUCACAAAAGUAAAAUGCUGAUAUGAGGCUGGAAAGAUAGGCUGCCAAAAAGACCAGAGGCUCAGACAACAGAGGCCUCAUUGCCUAUCCCAUUUGGACAUAUACAUCCAGGAGUUCUUGGAUUAUAGUCUUCAGGAAAUAGAAGCUACCAGCAUCCACAUGCCUAGUCAAAGGGAGAAGUCUGUGAUGGAUGAAGAGAACAAAACUCGGGCUUGAGGGACCAGCUGGACUCACUGUGCGGCAGACAGAAUCCAUAAUCUCACUCAUCAUUUGACCUACUUAUGCGAUUACUCUGAUCAGUAUAAAACACUGAUGGCUUGGGUCUCCUGAAAUCAGUGUCCAUUCUGAGCCACUGCCCAGCAACUCCUCAAAAGUUCGAUUAUUUCUCUUUCCUCAAUGUAUAGUCACCCAGGUAAAUGGUCAUAGAUCUCUUAGGGGAAGAGUGGGGGGAAAAAGAUGAACUAUAUCAUUUCUUUUUGUUUGUUUAGUAGAGUUCUUUCUCAAAGGCUUUCUCCCCACUCUAAAUUACAGAGAUUCCAGGUCUGUAAAAUGGCUCAGGUCUGGGAAUUGAUGGAGGGAGCAUGAUCUCCUAUUUUUAGAAUUAGGUUAGCCUCCUAAGAAAGGGCUACAUUUACUGGCAA